UGUGACAAAAAGGUUCUACUCAUACAUGUCAUAAUCAGACUAAAAGUUUGAGUUAAAAUUUUGAAUUUUGGAAUUUUGUUCGUAAUUGAUCAUGUCUUGAAUAAAGUUUGAUUUUGCAAGUCUUGUUACCUAAAGAGGAGUUUAAAAAAUAAGUAUGAAAGUUACUAACAAUAUUCCUUAAAAUAAGUCUGUCUGUUGUCUUCCGUGUAGUUUAGUGGUCAUUUUUUGUCUUCCUGUUACAUUUGUGUAUCAUUAACAAUUAGGCCUUAGUAACUUAUAGUCUUGGUGAGGGACAUAUUUGUCUUCCAGUUACAUUUGUGUUUGAUUUUCAGUUAUGUUUGUAUUUUAAGCCAAUAAUUGUCUCCCCUGUUUAUAACUGCUGUUGUUUUCCAAGACUUUUAUAGAUUUUUUUUUUUAAUUUGUAUAUUGAGACUUUAAAAAUCCUUAUCUUAUGUUAUGAAUUUUUCAAAUACAGGGAAGUGAUAAUGUAGGUGUUCUCAGUUUCUUGUUGCUUGUUGUCUGGGGGACUCUCACAGGACUCAGUUAUUGUUGAAAACUUGUCUCAUUGAAAACUAUAUUACUGAUGAUGGAAUUGUACUGAUGGCUACAUACAGUCUAAAGAUUCUAUUUUACUUACAGUAAAUGUACUGACUAUAUAUAGACUAGACCGUUGGUUAUCCCAUUUGAAUGGUUUUACACUAGUAAUUUUGGGGCUCUUUAUAGCUUGUUGUUCC
rnacentral:lncRNA from 1 species